rnacentral:rRNA from 1 species
ACUCAAAGGAAUUGACGGGGGCCCGCACAAGCGGUGGAGCAUGUGGCUCAAUUCGAUGCAACGCGAAGAACCUUACCUGGCCUUGACAUCUAACGUGAAAGUCGGUGAAAGCCGAUGACGGCCCGAAAGGGUGCUGGGGUUAGACAGGUGCUGCAUGGUUGUCGUCAGCUCGUGUCGUGAGAUGUUGGCUUAAGUGCCGCAACGAGCGCAACCCCUGUGGUUAGUUGCUAAUCAGGCGCAAGCUUGGUGCACUCUAACCAGACUGCCCCGAUUCUUAUCUGGGAGGAAGGUGGGGAUGACGUCAAAUCAGUAUGGCCCUUACGGCCAGGGCUGCACACGUGCUACAAUGCCCGGUACAAUGGGACGCGAACUCGCGAGAGGGAGCAAAUCCCCUAAAACCGGGCUCAGUUCAGAUUGAAGGCUGCAACUCGCCUCCAUGAAGCUGGAAUCGCUAGUAAUGGUACAUCAGCAACGGUACCGUGAAUACGUUCCCGGGCCUUGUACACACCGCCCGU